GAUGAACGCUGGCGGCGUGCCUAAUACAUGCAAGUCGAACGAGGUGCUUUUGUAGCAAUACGAGGGUAUCCUAGUGGCGAACGGGUGAGUAACGCGUUGGUGACCUGCCCCGAAGUGUGGGAUAACAGUCCGAAAGGAUCGCUAAUACCGCAUGUGGCCAUCGGGUUUAGAAACCGAUGUCUAAAGCAGCAAUGCGCUUUGGGAGGGACCUGCGUCCCAUCAGCUAGUUGGUGAGGUAACGGCUCACCAAGGCGACGACGGGUAGGGGGCCUGAGAGGGUGGCCCCCCACAAUGGAACUGAAACACGGUCCAUACACCUACGGGUGGCAGCAGUAGGGAAUAUUGCACAAUGGGCGAAAGCCUGAUGCAGCAACGCCGCGUGAGCGAAGAAGGCCUUCGGGUCGUAAAGCUCUUUUCUGGGAGAUGAGAAAGGACAGUAUCCCAGGAAUAAGUCUCGGCUAACUACGUGCCAGCAGCCGCAGUAAUAC
rnacentral:rRNA from 1 species